rnacentral:misc_RNA from 1 species
AUGGGGAAUCAUGCGACUCUCCCUCCUACGCAGUUCCCACCCUUUGUAACCACGAUAAUGACAACUGUCAAUUCUCAAUUCAAAUAAUUUUUUUAGUAACGCUUUUAGUAGAACUGCAAAUCACUGAAAUCAGUUAUCAGGAAAUAGUUCGAGCUACUACAAGGUGUCCUUCUCAAAUUCCCACUAACUUAUAUCAAAGUUUAGUCGUCUUCUUCUAACAUUGUCUCGAAUAACUGGGAGGAAGUGGAUAGCAAAGAGGUUAAAAACCUGGUAAUUGAAACAAAGGGGAAAAAGGAAAACACUUUAAUCGAAAAAGAAGAUGUGAAUCUUCAUGAUUUGGAUACAACUCGUACAAGCACUGUAGAAGCGGAAAAGCGCUUUAAUGGUCCACUAACUUUGAAAGAAUCAUACUAUUCAGUUUACAUCAUUGAAACAAAGCCCACUGAUAAGAAAUGGAGAGGAGGGCUUUCCCCCGGCCUACUGGUUCAGUUUGGAGACGCUACAUUGAGUUGGAAUUACUGAGGCUCCAACUAGAGAACAAGUAUCCUGAAGCAAUUAUCCCACCUCUCCUGGAAAAUAAUUGCGUCAUUAUCUCGCCUAAGUCAAAGCAGUGAUAAUAUUGAUCCUCUAUUUGUUGAUUGCAGAAGAGUAGGAUUGGAGAACUUCCUCUUACGUGUGGCCGCCCAUCCCAUUUGAUGCCACGACCAAGUCUUGCUCAAGUUUCUUCAAUCGGAUCGCUAGUGGUCAGAUCUCGACGUUAAUGCAGAUGGCGGGAAAUAUGUUCAGCAAGCAGAAUUCAAACUGAAAUCUAUCAGCACCGCUUUGAGAUUGUAAAGACACGAUGAUCACGUGAAAGAAAUUCGCCUCUACAGUUCGGAACUACAGUCAAGUUUGGGGAACCUGUUGAGGCUUCGCGUCCGUCUAGCCGAUCGACUCUUUCCUAUCCACAAGCUAUGGUGAUCCUCCUUGACAUUUGGACGUCAGAUUGGUCGGCUGAAUACAUCCCAACAAUGCGGUCGCAGUGUUUAUCUCAUUCAAAGACAUUCUGUAUGCGCACGAGAAAAAAGCAAGUAAAAUUACUUAGCCUCCAGUCCG